GUGAGGCGCCAGAGAAGAUACCUGGAGUUCCAGAGCCUUGAGCCGAUUGCUGACUCUGUUGGAGUAGGAACCCUGUCACCUCUGGUAAGUUACACACCUCAACACCCGGAUCAGCCACUCCCUGCUGAGGACAAUGGACCCACGAUGGGCAGCACACUAGAGUUCCUGUCUCCUCAUCUGCAGAUUAGAGCUUCCCCAGGAUCCACCCUGAGUGUUAGGAGGCUGGAGCUGGCAAAGAAGUGGGUACUGAAGGAUGAGGAGGAACUGGGCAUGGCGCUUUGGCCACCACUGUCCAUGAAGCCUUCAGGGGCAGACUUGCUGUGAAGGCUAUGGUUGGCAGCCUGGCAUUUCCCCUACCUCCAUGUGUGGACACUAACCAACCCCAGAAGGAAAUCUGUGUUGCAUGGACUGGAUGUACUACUGAGAGAAUAUUCAUCCCAUGAGGUGAAAACUUGAACUACCCCAUUUGCAGGAUAAGCACCCUGACUUAUGGGCUGCUCAGCAAAAAACAAACUAAGCAAGUAGGCAACCUGUGGAUUGAAUUGACUGCGAUGCAAUUCACAACUUUUCAAGUCUCAUAAGUGGCAGAAGGGUUUGACACUGUAAAUUUAGUAACAGACACAAAUGUGGCAACAUGUUCACUUCUCUCCCCAUCUCCAGCAUCUCUACAUAAAAGAUAACUCAUGUCAAAGUCUGCAUGAACAGUGGUGCACAGCAACCACUGAAAAGACCCAUAAGAUGGGUAUAACUAAUGAAUAGAGGCAAAGGACAAGUGACAUUUUUUCCUUUACUGCAAGAGGGGGCAGGUCUGGUGUGCUUGUCAUGCCCACAGAAUACAUGACAAGAUGCGCAGACUCUCAAGGCAAAGAUGACCUUCUUGGGCAUCCUUGUGGCUCUGGGUGUACCCAUGAGUUCAGAACCAAAUCGAAAUCUCCCUCUGUAGACAAAACUGAGGGCACUCUAGAGGGGUCGGAGACCACUACAGAAUAAUUUUCAGGUACCCUAUAUGGUUCAGAAUUUCACUAAGAGCAUUCUUGGAGAUUCUAUUGCCAAGGAGAUUGAUGGCAAUGACUAAGGGAGUACUGAUGGACAGGCAGGAGAACACUGAUCUGAAGGUCUGUCAUCACAAGCCCAGAAAAUCGGGUGUCUGCCGAGUUUCCCCAACAUUACCUACCAACCUUUUGAAGAAGCCCAAGAUGUGAUGGUAAUGGGACACCUAGCAAUGUCCAGAUAUUUCAAUUGCCAGAGGCUAUGCCAUCAGGUGCAUUGAGACAGAUGGGCACUCUAAAUCAUGCUGGAAGUAAUAGAGAAGGUCUUCAAAGGAUUCUUCCUUUUCUAGGCAAAUGCCAAGAGGACUGUCUAUACCUUAUGCUUUCUUCUAAGCCUAUGGAGCUCUUCCCACCACUGUUCAGGACUUCUUAAAUGGCAGACUAAGUUGGAGAAAGCAUUGAUUUCAGCCCAGAAUUCCAGCCAUCUCCCUAUGGGAUUGCUGGAGGUGGAACCUUUGAGUACUCAGUCUUUGGAAUAUGUAACAUGACUUCUGGUAUAUAUGAGAAGGAACCAUGCUUGUGGCUGCUCCGGGUCACCUUUGAAGCCUAUUCUGGAAUCUACAAAUGUGUCACAAUUGAAGAACUUGAAGACUCCUCUGAAGACUUGUCACUUCCUGCUGGGUCUAUGGUGCCAACAUGGGUUAAUUUGCCCCCGCAUUAGACCUCUGGCAACUACAGUAUCUGGACAUGGUUUGUGUGCAAUUCCCAUUGCAUUUUGCCCUCUUCAAAGGUUGAUGGCUAAUGUUGCAGACACUCUUCAUACUUUGGAGUUCUGUGGCUAUGGGAUGCCAAAGUCUCAGAUCGUUGUCCUCCUACCUGCACUCCGCUAUUGCUCCCAACUCAUUGGCAUCAAUUUCUAUGAUAAUGGAAUCUCCAAGCAUGUGAGUGAGGUUCUGGACCAUGCAGGGAACCUGAGAAGGAGGAUUCUGGAGCAGUACUCUGCCCCUCUGGAGUGUCAUCAUAACCAGUUUUGUGGGAUUUCAUCAAGCUUGCCUGAGCUCAUGUGUACACUCAGGACCAUAAAGAAGUCCCAUGAAGUCACCUUUGCCUAAAGUGUCUGCACAUCAAGUCAUGUAUGCAGUGUAUGACAAGCUGACCUGAUUUUGUCUCUUUGCAGUAAAGAGGAAAAUGUCACUUGUCCUUUUUCCCUGGUCAUUAUGUUCCAUCUAUGGUAUAUCUUCCAUCUACGUGCCUAUACAGUUGUUGUGCAUAAAAUUGUUACACUGAUAAUAGACCCUCUAAUGAAGGUUUUGGAGGAAUUUACAAUUAAAUCUAGAACACUCAGGACUGGAUCACAGUAUAAACAUCAAACAUAGCUGAAGCAUAAAGCAAAAGGAAUACUGGGUAGACCAUACUAUCUGUCUCUUAUGUUUUUCUUAUAUUCCAAGGUAACCUGUUAAUCAUGAAAUUGUUUAAUACUUUCGCUGUUUUUAAUCAUGUGUGGGUAUGUUUUUACUUUAUGUACUUUGGUGUUUUGUCUGUUUGAGGGCAUCAGUGGGAAUUGAACCUGGGUCCUCUGGAGGAGCGGCCAACGUUCUUAACCGCUGAGCCAUCUCUCCAGCUCAUAUGUGUGGGUAUGUUAAUACUGGUGCAAGUGCCAAAAGCAUAGGAGACUAAGGCAUUAGAUCUCUAUACCUGGAGUGACAAUUGUGUACAGCCUGACAUGGGGCUAGGACCCAAACUUGUCUCCUCAGGAAGAGGUGUGCGUGCUGUUAAGGCCAAGCCCUCUCUACCUCCAGGCCUUGAAGUCUUGCAUCUCUUAUUGACUGAUCCUCCGCCUCCUAUGUUGCUAACAUCACUUACAGGGACCAACAUGUUGAGCCUCUGUGCAACAUGGCUUUGAGGCCCCAUUUUCUGGGCUCUUAAACUCAGCAGGGUAACGGUGUAUAUAGGUCUCUAAUACAAAACAAACGUACUUCAACUAUCCUAAAGCACUUGCUGGACCUAAUACCUGUAUUUUAACUCUUCGAUUGUAAUAUACAUCUUAUUAUAAAAGCCACGCAAGUAAUUAUACUUUUUAUGGAGCUCACAUAGUAAGAAUAUAAGAUUUGUUCAUGUUCCUUUUAUUAAAAUAGACUGGUGAUCAA